rnacentral:rRNA from 1 species
GAUGAACGCUGGCGGCGUGCCUAAUACAUGCAAGUCGAGCGAACGGACGAGAAGCUUGCUUCUCUGAUGUUAGCGGCGGACGGGUGAGUAGCACGUGGAUAACCUACCUAUAAGACUGGGAUAACUUCGGGAAACCGGAGCUAAUACCGGAUGAUAUUUUGAACCGCAUGGUUCAAAAGUGAAAGACGGUCUUGCUGUCACUUAUAGAUGGAUCCGCGCUGCAUUAGCUAGUUGGUAAGGUAACGGCUUACCAAGGCAACGAUGCAUAGCCGACCUGAGAGGGUGAUCGGCCACACUGGAACUGAGACACGGUCCAGACUCCUACGGGAGGCAGCAGUAGGGAAUCUUCCGCAAUGGGCGAAAGCCUGACGGAGCAACGCCGCGUGAGUGAUGAAGGUAUUCGGAUCGUAAAACUCUGUUAUUAGGGAAGAACAUAUGUGUAAGUAACUGUGCACAUCUUGACGGUACCUAAUCAGAAAGCCACGGCUAACUACGUG